rnacentral:rRNA from 1 species
AGCAGCCGCGGUAAUUCCAGCUCCAAUAGCGUAUAUUAAAGUUGUUGCAGUUAAAAAGCUCGUAGUUGAAUUUCGGGAUCAGUACGCCGGUCGUGCCUUCGGUAUGCACUGGUGUCACUGGUUUCUCCCUUCUGAAGAACCAUCAUGCCAUUCAGUUGGUGUGGCGGGGAAUCAGGACUGUUACUUUGAAAAAAUUAGAGUGUUUAAAGCAGGCUCGCGCUUGAAUACAUUAGCAUGGAAUAAUGAAAUAGGACGUUUGGCCCUAUUUUGUUAGUUUCUAGGAUCGACGUAAUGAUUAAUAGGGAUAGUUGGGGGCAUUAGUAUUCAAUUGUCAGAGGUGAAAUUCUUGGAUUUAUUGAAGACUAACUACUGCGAAAGCAUUUGCCAAGGAUGUUUUCAUUAAUCAAGAACGAAAGUUAGGGGAUCGAAGACGAUCAGAUACCGUCGUAGUCUUAACCAUAAACUAUGCCGACUAGGGAUCGGAUGAUGUUAAUUUUUUAAUGACUCA